AUGCACCCUAGCCCUGAACAGGGUCCAAAAAGACGAGGUUCCCAAGCUAAGGAGGAACUACAUCAUCCUCGUCCACCAACUUGCCACCACAAUUUUUUUCCGAAAGUUCAGGGGGCGCAAAUCCAGAUCAGGGUAGAAGAAGAGGACAUGCUGCUUAGCACACUCGAAGUAAACACUAGAAGUAGAUAUCGCCUCGUUGAUAAGCUAUGGCACCUCUUUUUACAACUCCUUAUGACAAAGGAGAGUAGCACCCACGGGCUCUUGCAAAGAUGCCUUAUCAGUAGAUAUUUCUUACGCCUUGCCUUUUACAUCUACCAUUUUCUCAUCCCACUUUUCCUUAUCUUUCUAUAG